AGUAAAGUGUCUGAUUUAAGUUGUAAAUUGUAAAUUUAUAUAAGAGAAUAAUAUUCUUCUCCUUUACUA
rnacentral:tRNA from 1 species